rnacentral:rRNA from 1 species
UACGGGGGGGGGCAAGCGUUGUUCGGAAUUACUGGGCGUAAAGGGCUCGUAGGCGGCCAACUAAGUCAGACGUGAAAUCCCUCGGCUUAACCGGGGAACUGCGUCUGAUACUGGAUGGCUUGAGUUUGGGAGAGGGAUGCGGAAUUCCUGGUGUAGCGGUGAAAUGCGCAGAUAUCAGGAAGAACACCCGUGGCGAAGGCGGCUCUCUGGAACGCAACUGACGCUGAGACGCGAAAGCGUGGGGAGCAAACAGG